UCCACCCAGUGGCUCAGCCUGGCCCUAGGUGGGCUUCUAUCACUCAGCAACAACCAAAACAUUGGUGUGUUAUUAAUGCUGUCUCGGCUGAAACCAGGACACUCACUUACCAUAAAGCUGUCUUGUGGAUUUCCAGAUAACGCCACAUAAAGAUAAGCAACUGUACUGAAGAAGAUACCUGAAGUGGAGUUGUUGAGAUUUUAGAUGUUUGUUUACAUGCACAUCAUGCUGAGCACUUCUCUGUAAUGGGAUGAUAACCAUUAUAGGAAUAAAAAAGAAGCAAUUAAAGAAUAGCAAAUGUGGAAGAGGACAAUACAUUCUCUACAGACUUCUGGAAAAGACAGACAGUGAUCCAGAGAAUCUGUGGAUUAUUUUCUACUACACUAUGUGCUGUGCUCAGGGAGAACAGCAAACAGAAAAGCAGAGCAGUACACAGUGAUGCAGGAAAAAGGUAUUUGCCUUCCAAGUUGCAAGUCCUCAUACAGCAGUUGAUGUGCAAUGGCGCCAUUUACGGAUAAAACCAGAGGAGGAGAAGACCCAUGAAAUCUAAAUGAUUGAGUCCUUCUACAAAGCUUCUAAACAUAUCAUAAUCAUACUAGCCACUGGAAAGAAUGCUCUGGAUUUACUGUUUGGAAGGAGUUUCUUUACGCACUGCCAGAUCACCUAACCAGGAUCAAGAAAUGGACAAGAUGUAUGAGCAGCUGGCAGAAGUUGUGCAAACACCAGCCCUUGUUCUCAUGGGGAACUUCAGCUGCCCUCAUGUAUACUGGAAAUACAAUACAGCACAGAAGAAGUGGUC